UACGAAGGGGGCUAGCGUUGCUCGGAAUCACUGGGCGUAAAGGGUGCGUAGGCGGGUCUUUAAGUCAGGGGUGAAAUCCUGGAGCUCAACUCCAGAACUGCCUUUGAUACUGAGGAUCUUGAGUUCGGGAGAGGUGAGUGGAACUGCGAGUGCAGAGGUGAAAUUCGUAGAUAUUCGCAAGAACACCAGUGGCGAAGGCGGCUCACUGGCCCGAUACUGACGCUGAGGCACGAAAGCGUGGGGAGCAAACAGG
rnacentral:rRNA from 1 species